CUAUGCGCCUUGCCAGCCCGCUCAGGUGUGCCAGCCGCCGCGGUAAUACGGAGGAUGCGAGCGUUAUCCGGAUUUAUUGGGUUUAAAGGGUGCGUAGGCGGGCUGUUAAGUCAGCGGUCAAAUGUCGGGGCUCAACCCCGGCCUGCCGUUGAAACUGGCGGCCUCGAGUGGGCGAGAAGUAUGCGGAAUGCGUGGUGUAGCGGUGAAAUGCAUAGAUAUCACGCAGAACUCCGAUUGCGAAGGCAGCAUACCGGCGCCCGACUGACGCUGAGGCACGAAAGCGUGGGUAUCGAACAGG
rnacentral:rRNA from 1 species